rnacentral:lncRNA from 1 species
AACAACCGUUCAUCCUAAAUCUUUCCAAAAACUUUUUAAUGGAGGUCUUUUGAGAUAGUUCUAAGGUUUUUUUGCCUUUCUCUAGGAAUUUCUAUGCCAAUGACAUAAAAAGUUUUACUUAUAUCCUUCAUUUCAAUAUUCUAGAUAAGAAAUUGCUUGAUCUCAUAUAAUAAGCAAGGUCAAAAGGCUUUUGAAACUUGUUUAAAGCUAGGUUUCCAAGACCUAGUAAUGCGAACUAGGGUUGA